GGUCUGCACUUGCCAGUGCGGCUUCCGCCUUUCUCCUUAUUUGGAGGAAAGGCGGCUUCUCCAAUCAGGACCGCACAGCCGAGGUGCAUCAGGCUUGUUAAAAGAUAGUAUAAAGACUCCAGGAUCUUCUCUAGUCUUCGCUGGAUUGUACUACUAAAAGUGCCCCCGGCCCUGGAUAAAUCCUUGGAUUCGUGGAUCCUGUCUGCCCCCUCUCCGCUCUUCCUACCAGCCUGCUCCUUGCCUUGCUUCUCACCGGAUUACACCUGGCACCAAUAUCACUUUGUAAAUAAAGACUCACAGAACACCAA